GAAGAUUCAUCCCUCCCCCGAGGUAGGGACGAAUGUCCGAAUCACUUCAAUUAGUCCAUCUGGGUUCCAGGCACAUCUGAGAUUAAUAUCAGCCAGAACUUGAGCAUCAUUGCCAAGAUGUGAGCUCCUUAGGCUGGCACAUGGACCACAUGAACGGACUUUCUUCUAGUGCUAGGAGGCCAAUCCCCCACAGAGUUCUGACAUAGGAUGCGUUGAUCACAGCGGCCUCUGCCCAGCAAUGUUUACCCAGGAGGCAGCCUGGUAUCAUCACGGAAGGAGUGAAAGAGUUGAAGCUGGAAGAUCUACAGAGAACUGCCAGUUGUUCAUUAUUCCUUCAUUCAUUGAAGACAUUUUUAUAGAGCACCUAUAACAGACAGGAAGACACAGUCCAGAGUCAAUUCCCCUCGGCUCUCAAGGUAACCCUAAUGAAACGUGAGUUUGCCGCGUACCUUUAGAGACUAUGUAAGUGCUACUGUUAACUAGCUCACCAGAUGCCUUAAAGCUGGGUUGUUUUUUUUUUCUAAAUCUCUGAACAUCCACUGUCAACCACAAGAACUGAUGGCUUAAUAUGGGCACUGAGGAGGCUGGAGGUGAGGCUGGGUCAUGGUUGGGGUCAGAACAUGGGAAAUGGGUUCUAGGAGAGCUUUAAGACAGCAUGGGAAUUUCUUAAUAUCAAUAAGGCCUGGCUGGCCCUGGCUCCAGGUGAGUCUGGGAGCCAGUGGCUCUGCUGAGUGACAGCCAAUGAGCCACACUGGGGUAAUUUAUAGAAAAGGGUGACAAGGAAUGACCUUCAGCAUCUUUGUUUAAUAACAUUACCUUCACAAGCUGCAAUCCUUUAGUUUCACAGAUACCAGUGGCAAGACUUGAAUGAAUUUUACCUGAAUUUCUGCUUUAUUUAUUUCCCUGCUAACUUCAUUUCUAAAAUCACCUUUGCUGAAUGACAACUCAAUCAAUUCAAUAACAUGCAAUUUUACACAGUAGGAACCUAUUCCCAGAUCCCCCUUCAUACUUGUAAUUGUCGGCUACUUCCUUGAAUAGCCUGUGUGUUUCAAAGCCAAGUUAUUUUCAUCUCCAGACCCCCGAGGUGGAAUGACACUGUGAGAUGGACACAGUCCUGACCCGAGGCUGAAGAUGCUCUCCUCUUCCCAUUCUUUAUUCACAUGCAUCUCUCGUUCAUCACAGCCUGAGCUGCCAGCUCAUGUUCAAUUUCCCAUCAGAUCAGUUGUGUUAAGGAAUCAUCGGCUUGAUCGGCUUCAUUUUAGAAGCUUUCUGAGAUGCUGGGAUUUUUUACUUUGUUUCACAUGCUUUUGGAAUCUUGCCAAAGUAAAUGAAGGUAAAAUGAACAUGUAUAUUUUGGCUUUAUUUUCCAGGACCAGGUAAAGUGAUGGACAGGAUUGUAUUACUGGAGGAAUUAAGGAGGAGGUGGGCUGCACACAUAUUCUGUCGAUCCACAGAAUCUGUGGGUAAUGAACUGGGAAAAACAAAUCUGCUGAUUGAAAAUUUGAAUCAUUAAUAGCUUUGAAAUCUACAGCUUCUUUUAGAUUUCAAUCUUCUGUGAUUUGCUUGGAGUCCGUGCUGCAGUGGUCUGAGCCACAGGUCAAAUUGUCAGUCACAAUGAGCAGGGUUUGCUCAUGGCCUCUGUUGUUUCAGAGAUUAUAUUAAACGCUUAAAAAAGCUGCAGUAACACUUCCAGGGCUCUGGAGUAGUCAUCACGGUAUAGUACUCCCUGGACUUUCAUUGAUUUAGAAUUUGCAUCUUCCAUUAUUUGCAAAUGACCCUCCAGGUUCUAAAUAUAUUAUAAUUUGUAUUCUUGUUGAAACAUGAAUUAGAAUUGCCCUAGCUGGGUGGGAUGCUGGGGCAUAGCCGUGGAUUACAUUGCUGGUCUAACACUCUGCCCUCUGCCACUCAAAGAAAAAAUGUUUUUCACUCAUUGUAUAUACAUGUUAUGAGGAAAAUGAUGUGAUAUAGUGGUUCUUUGUGAAUUGGGGGGAUUCACAAAGGUAUUGUAAAGAAUUACUCAUGAGUGUCAGGCCGUACUGUCGGUAUAUCUUAUUGUCUUAUUGUAAUGAAACCGAGUAUGGCAAUGCUUUUCUCAUCUGUGGAUGACUUAUCUGGACAUUAAGAAAUAAUUUAUUUUGUAAUGAAUAAGUAAAGAAAAAGCGCUGCUGAGAAGACAAUAUAGAUGUUCCCACAUCUAUCCACACUAAAACUCAUACUCUUAGCUCAAAGGUGAUCUCCUCAAGCCCUCAUCCAGAACUACCCUCUGCCCUUUUUGAUUUAGAUUCGACCUCAGGUGCAAAGAGUUGAAGUUGUCAUCCUAAGAUGCUCAUGGCAUCUACCUGCUCAUUGUGGCUCACAAUGAGCCACAAUGAGUUUAUUUUAGUAUUUUCUGCUUUCAUGCCCAUCUCUAUGCCUGUUAUCUCCUUCAUAUCUAGUAAAUAUGCAACAUGCAUACUCAUGUGUUUAGGAUAUGUUACCGAAAUGUAUGACAUUUAAAUUUAUAUGAUGGUAUUUCGGUAUAUGUCUUUUUUUUUCUUUUUUACUGUUUCCACUCAGCAUAAUUUUUCAGGAUUUAUCCAUGUUGGUGAAUGUGCAUGUGGUUAAUUCUUCCACUGCAUUGUCUUCCAGAGCGUAUGUCCACCAUGGUUUGCUUACAGUCCCAGUUACAGACGCCACUGUUGGCUCAAUGCAUUGCUGCCACAUACAAUGCUAUGAAGUCCAUCUUUUUCUGUGCCCCUGUAUGGUCCUGGAGCCACUGUAAUUUGGGAAAUAUGAAUCUUUUACCCAUCUCUUCAGGACUCCUGAAGACAGAGGUAAGACUUCUGCUUCUAGUGAUCAUGGCUGGAUGAAGCCAGCCUCAGGAUAAUAAACCAGGUAAUUAUCUCCAUCCUUCCUAUGACAGUAAUGGUGUUGAGGCAGGCAAAAAUUCAUCAGAGGCGGCUUUGCAAGCCCCAGGGCCUGAUUGUCAGAAUCCGUCUCUGCAGCAUUACACCAGGGUGGUGUAAUGAUGGCCGAGGGCCACAUUAUGCCUCCAGAGUAAAGAAUUGUGGAGAUGAAAAGGACAAAGACACCUACCAUCCUAGCAUGGUACCAAGUCUGAGUGGAUGGUCUGGAUCAGUAAUUAGAAACACAGCACAAUAAAUAUUGAAAGAAACUUCUGUAAACAUUCUAGAGGACAAUGAAAUUAGAAAUAACAAGCAGAUGGGCUUUUAUUCAAGGCAAAUCAUGCCAGAUGGACGCAGUACCUUUUUUUUUUUUUAUGGAUAAAAGUACAAAGUUGGUGGAUCAAGGGAAAAUGGCAUGUUUGAUGUCAUUUGUUUGAAGAUGGUUAAAGCAUUUGAGUCUUCCAAGAAGUCUGAUUUGCAGAAUUGGUUCAGAAUGCCUGGAAUAGAAGCACAUACCUAACAAAAAAGUUGGAUAAAUGCUGCUAAUUGGGCAAUAGAAAGUACUGGAACACUGGGCUGGCAGGACUGCCUCAGGAGGGGUCUUCCAAGGGACCAUUGAACUUUGGAGACUGAAGCGACCUUAAAGAUUCUCAGUUCCAACCCUCUCAUUUAAGGUUAAGGAAACUCAAUCAAAAGGAGACCAUGACUUCACAAAACGAGGGCUAGAACAAGGGUUACUUGACAAUUAGUUCUGCAGUGUGAGUGCCAGGUCUCCUCUCUACCCAGCAUCUCUCUUAUCUAGGAAAGGCAAUAAAUGUGUUCAAAUACAAAUUCUGAAAGGAUUCUAAAUACAGAGAUGAAAUAAUGGGACCGUGAGCAAACAAAGCCUGAGAUAUAGAUCAUGUCCCCUGAAGAGGGUGGGGCCUCAGAUAAAGUGGAGAUGGUGGUUGAGAGAAAACUGGGAAGCUUCAUGCCAGGCCAUGCUCCCAAGGUCCCUGCAUGGUGUUCAAGCCACUUUCAGUGAUAUUAACUCGUCAUUGCUAGGAAGCAAAUAUUACCCAUUUUGCAGGUGAGAAAAUGACAGAACUCUAGGAGGUUUGGUGACUUUUCCAACUGAGGUCCAACAGCAAGCAUGGAAUCGAGCUAGGAUGAAAGCUCAUGUCCUCUGAUUCUGGUCAGGCUCUUUCUCACCCACAUGUUGCCUUUGGUAAAAUUCUGAUGGAGGCCCACACCUGCCUGCCCUAUUAUCUCUCCAGAAAACUCCCUUCUUCCUCUUCUGGGCCCUUUCUCAACUCAUCUUCCUGCCCUUAUACAGCUCCCCAGAUGCCUGGCCUUCCUGACUUCACUGCAUUCUCCCCAUUCUUCAUCAAAACAUAUCAGUCUCCUUUCCCAUUUCUGCUGAGCUUUGCGCUAAGCCUUCUGUCACCCUAAAAACUAAUUUCCCCCAUUGCCUUUACAGGUGGUGGUUUCACCCCCCUGAGCAUGCUUCCUCAUUUAAAAAAUAAAACACAGCAAUGACGCCUAGAAUAUUGUGACCUACAGGGAUGGAGCACCAUCGAGCCAAUGCCUAAGAAGAAGUAGACACUCUGUAUUUAUGAAGAGGAUCGUGGGCUGGGAACUUUCCUCAAGACCCCUCUCAAUAGUUCUUCCUUUCUUAUGCAGAGUAAUUCAUUCCCCCCAAACCCAUAUCUGAGCACCCCGGCUCUAACCAUUCAACAGAGGACCCUGUGGUUAUCAGGAUCAGUCUUUUGAGUGGGUGGCAGGUUGAAUAGGGAGGGAAUGUUAAUAAGUAAUUUUGUUCCUUUCACACAUAAUGUUUUCCCUGUCAGAGUGUGGAAGAGUUUUUGCAACAGGUAGAUUUUUUUUUUCAAGAAGAGUCAUUGCGAUAAAGGAAAAAAAAAAAGGAAGCCUAGGGGCUUCCCUG